UGUGCUUGAAUAAGCCUGUAGGGGCCAGGGG
rnacentral:piRNA from 1 species